rnacentral:rRNA from 1 species
ACUCCUACGGGAGGCAGCAGUGGGGAAUAUUGCACAAUGGGGGGAAACCCUGAUGCAGCCAUGCCGCGUGUGUGAAGAAGGCCUUCGGGUUGUAAAGCACUUUCAGUAGGGAGGAAGGUAGUGUAGUUAACACCUGCAUUAUUUGUACGUUACCUACAGAAGAAGCACCGGCUAACUCCGUGCCAGCAGCCGCGGUAAUACGGAGGGUGCGAGCGUUAAUCGGAAUUACUGGGCGUAAAGCGCAUGCAGGCGGCCUGUUAAGUCAGAUGUGAAAGCCCGGGGUCUUAACCUCGGAAUUGCAUUUGAAACUGGCAGGCUAGAGUCUUGUAGAGGGGGUUAGAAUUUCAGGUGUAGCGGUGAAAUGCGUAGAGAUCUGAAGGAAUA